rnacentral:rRNA from 1 species
AUUGAACGCUGGCGGCAGGCUUAACACAUGCAAGUCGAGCGGGGGAAGGUAGCUUGCUACUGGACCUAGCGGCGGACGGGUGAGUAAUGCUUAGGAAUCUGCCUAUUAGUGGGGGACAACAUCUCGAAAGGGAUGCUAAUACCGCAUACGUCCUACGGGAGAAAGCAGGGGAUCUUCGGACCUUGCGCUAAUAGAUGAGCCUAGGUCGGAUUAGCUAGUGGGGGGGGUAAAGGCCUACCAAGGCGACGAUCUGUAGCGGGUCUGAGAGGAUGAUCCGCCACACUGGGACUGAGGGACGGCCCAGACUCCUACGGGAGGCAGCAGUGGGGAAUAUUGGACAAUGGGGGGAACCCUGAUCCAGCCAUGCCGCGUGUGUGAAGAAGGCCUUAUGGUUGUAAAGCACUUUAAGCGAGGAGGAGGCUACUCUAGUUAAUACCUAGGGAUAGUGGACGUUACUCGCAGAAUAAGCACCGGCUAACUCUGUGCCAGCAGCCGCCGUAA